GUCCCGUGCGAUCACCGAAGCUAAGCAACGUCGAGCCUGGGCACUACCUAGAUGGAUGACCGCUUGGGAAUACCAGGUGUUGUAAA